AAUUGUUUGUUUGUGUUGAUGUUUAAUUUUGAUUAUUUCUCGAUAAUUAAAAGGAAGAGAAAAACAAUUAACUUUCAAGAGAAAACAUUGAUUGUAAGAGAAGCAAAGGAUAAGAAAUCCUCUUUCUUUCAUUUCUUUUUCUCUUUCAUUUUCUCUUUCUUAUAUAAUUAAUUUCUCUCUCUUUGUAAUCCUACUUAUUGUUGAUUGAGAGUCAUUAUUGUCUUGACCAAAACUCAAAUGAUUGUUAAUGAAUAAAUAUUAACAAUGGUGAUCAAAAUCAACAGAUUGAUUGUUAAUCAUUUGAGUUUUGGUUAAGUUACUUGUAACUUAAAUUUCUAAUUUCUAAUUUCUUGAAUAAUCUUGAUUAAUUUUGUGUCUUCCAUCAUGCCUGCUAAACGAAUCGCCAAUUCAUCUCGAGCUGGUCUCGUCAUGUCCGUUGGUCGUUUACAUCGACUUCUUCGAACUGGUAAUUAUGCCGAUCGAACCUCAAUGAAAGCCUCCGUUUAUCUUUCCUCCGUCUUGGAAACCAUUGGGAAUAUCAUUUUGACCGAAGCGGUCAAGGAAUCUAAAGGUCAUCGAAUCAAUCCUCAAGUACUUCAUCACGCCAUCAAGGGUCACGAUGGCCUCAAAGAUCUGUUCGCUCGUGCGACCUUCCGUGCCGGUGGUGUCAUGCCAAACAUUCACCCGAACCUUGAAGCUCCCCACAAGCCGAAAGGAGCGGCUUUCAAAGACGCCAUUAUCGUCGGUCAUGAACCAACCGCUUCCACCAGUUCAGCACCCGAAUGAUUGAUUGAAUCUCUAUUUCUCUCUGAUUCUUAAUGAUUCAAAAACAAACCAAGAUAAAAAUAAAACAAUGAAUUGAAUUAAGUUGAUUAUACAGCCAAAGACUUUGAGUUCACAACCACAUGUUAAAUCAUUCACGCAAUUAAUGAUAAUCAAGUAAAUAUAACUUUUGAUAUCUAAUCAGUUGACGAUUUUAAGAGACUACAUCAAUUAAAUAAGAGGACAA